rnacentral:rRNA from 1 species
CGCGUACGGAUGUAGUCGUGCGAUACAGCGGCGAACGGCUCCGUAACACGUGGAUAACCUACCCACAGGAAGGGGAUAACCCCGGGAAACUGAGGCUAAUCCCCUAUAAGCAAGGAAAGCUGGAAGGCUUCUUUGCACAAAGGUCCGCCGCCUGUGGAUGGGUCCGCGCCUGAUUAGGCUGUUGGUAGGGUAAAGGCCUACCAAACCAGUGAUCAGUACGGGCAAUGAGAGUUGGAGCCCGGAGAUGGGGACUGAGACAAGGCCCCAGGCCCUACGGGGCGCAGCAGCUACGAAAACUUCACAAUGCCCGAAAGGGUGAUGAGGGAACCCCAAGUGCUUCCGUUUUACGGAAGCUUUUCUCUGGCUUAAGGAACCAGGGGAAUAAGAGCUGGGUAAGACCGGUGCCAGCCGCCGCGGUAACACCGGCAGCUCAAGUGGUCGCCGCGUUUAUUGGACCUAAAGCGUUCGUAGCCGGACAUGUAAGUCUUCAGGUAAAUCGUGCGUCUAAUCGUAUGGCUUCUGGAGAUACUGCAUGUCUUGAGGCCGGGAGAGGUGAGAGGUACUCCAGGGGUAGCGGUAAAAUGCUAUAAUCCUUGGGGGACCACCGGUGGCGAAGGCGUCUCACUGGAACGGCCCUGACGGUGAGGGACGAAACCCAGGGAGCGAGCCGGAUUAGAUACCCGGGUAGUCCUGGCGUAAAUUAUGCGGAUAUAGUGUGACGUUAUCUACGAGAUACGUCAUGCCGUAGGGAGCCGUUAAGUCCGCCGUCUGGGGAGUACGUCGCAGCUGAACUAAAG